rnacentral:misc_RNA from 1 species
GUGAAUCAUCGAAUUUUUGAACGCAAAUUGCACUUUCUGGUAUUCCGGAAAGUAUUCCUGUUUCAGGGUCUGUUAAAUAAACAUCGUUGCUGUUUCUGCCUUUCGUGGUGACGCGACGGAAUUGUGUUGUCUUACCUUCGGUUAAGUGACUUAAAAUUUUCUUUUUUUUUCCAUGGAAGUUUAAAUUAUUUAUUUCUUUUCACGUUUCAG